rnacentral:rRNA from 1 species
CAAUAGCGUAUAUUAAAGCUGUUGCGGUUAAAAAGCUCGUAGUUGGAUUUCUGUCAAGGACAACUGGUCCGCCCUCCGGGUGAGCACAUAGUUUGGUCUUGACAUCUUGCUGGAAGCUGUUGCUGCACUUGGCUGUGUGGCGCAGUGUUCAGCACUUUCACUUUGAGGAAAUUGGAGUGUUUCAAGCAGGCACAUGCCUUUGGACACAGUAUCAUGGAAUAAUUAGAUUGGGCUUUUGCUCCAAUUUGUCGGUUUCUGGAGCUGAGGUGAGUAUUAAUGGGGAUUGUUGGGGGCAUCCGAAUUUAGCCGUCAGAGGUGAAAUUCUUGGAUCUGCUAAAGACGGACAACUGCGAAAGCGUUUGCCCAGGAUGUUUUCAUUGA